CCCCGGGGCACAAAGGGUAUGUGGGACCGGGAGUCGACCAUGAGAUGGCCAGCAGGUGGUUGCCUCCUUCAUACAUCCUUCAUUAGGACUGUAUCCUUCUUUGAUAAAGAGAAAAAAAAAAAAAGAAGCGAAAAAAUGUCGAGUUUACAUGUACGUACUGUAAAGAAAAUAAAUACUUUUUAACUAUAAUGUAUCUCUUAGUUUUGCAAUAUUUUCUUGAAUUAACAACAAUAGCAAAUUCAUUGACCAAAAUUUAACAGGAUAUACUAUAUAUAGAGAAUCAUGGAAGGAACACGCAUGCGUGACAACACGCCACCUUGCGGGAUCAUCGGAAAAGUAUUAGUUUGCUUACCUGUUGUGGGUGUCGAUUCAGGCGCUUGUCUCACUCGUGCGCUUUCCUCAACGACUGUCGUGCUCGGCCAGAGGAGCGGGAGAGUGUCCUUGCAAUGAUGGGAUUAUGCUGAGCUGCAGGGACACAGAAGACCCGCGGGCAGUCAGCCAUCCCGCCUCGUCUCUAAGCAGGGCACAAUGAACUGAGCUUCCACUGAGGCUUUGGCACAAUAUUCCAGCUAGCUCCAUUCGCCACAGCCACCAAAACUCUGAACUACUCCAGGAAACCCGAACUUUCAUAAGGACUUGCACGCAAAAAAAU